rnacentral:tRNA from 1 species
CAAGAAUUAGUUUAUAGAAAAUAUUCCAUUUACAUUGGGAAGAUUAGGUGCAAUAUCUUUAUUUUUGA